AUUGAACGCUGGCGGCAGGCCUAACACAUGCAAGUCGAGCGAGCGGCGGACGGGUGAGUAAUGUCUGGGAAACUGCCUGCUGGAGGGGGAUAACUACUGGAAACGGUAGCUAAUACCGCAUACCAUCAGAUGUGCCCAGAUGGGAUUAGCUAGUAGGUGGGGUAACGGCGCACCUAGGCGACGAUCCCUAGCUGGUCUGCGAGGAUGACCAGCCACACUGUAACUGGGACACGUUCCAGACUCCUACGGGAGGCAGCAGUGGGGAAGAGUGCAAAAUGGGCGCGAGCCUUAUGCAGCCAGGCCGCGUGUGUGAAGAAGGCCUUCGGGUUGUAAAGCACUUUCAGCGGGGAGGCGUUACCCGCAGAAGAAGCACCGGCUAACUCCGUGCCAGCAGCCGCGGUAAUAC
rnacentral:rRNA from 1 species